UACGUAGGGGGCAAGCGUUGUCCGGAUUCAUUGGGCGUAAAGCGCGUGUAGGCGGCCAGGUAGGUCUGGUGUGAAAACUCGAGGCUCAACCUCGAGAGGUCAUCGGAAACCAUCUGGCUAGAGUCCGGAAGAGGAGAGUGGAAUUCCCGGUGUAGUGGUGAAAUGCGUAGAUAUCGGGAGGAACACCAGUGGCGAAGGCGACUACCUGGCGUGUUUCUUGACGCUGAGGCGCGAAAGCUAGGGGAGCAAACGGG
rnacentral:rRNA from 1 species